rnacentral:tRNA from 1 species
UCUGGUGGUCCAGUGGUUAGGACUUGGAACUUUCACUGCUGGGACCCAGGAUCGAUUCCUGGUCAAGGAA